ACACGGCUCCCUCCGUCCCAAAAUUCUUGUCUUAGAUUUGUCCAAAUACGGAUGUAUGAAGUUCGUAUUUGGAUAAAUCUAAGACAAGAAUUUUGUCCGUAUUAAACAAAUCUAAGACAAGAAUUUUGGGACGGAGGGAGUACAUC
rfam:Triticum aestivum genome assembly, contig: Triticum_aestivum_CS42_TGACv1_scaffold_288253_4AL